CAUUUUUUUUAAUUGAGUUCUGUAGCAAGGGAAGGUAGAAGCUGCAAGAAUGAUUGGCAGGUCUUGAGACUUAGAAUCGUAUAUGAGCUGGUUGGGUCAGAGUUCCAAAGGGGCAGUUUUCCAACUGACUUAGUCUGGAGCUGAAAGUGAAGAAGGAAGAUGUGUAGCUGAGACUCCCUGAACAAACCACCUAUCAAGCAACUGGCCUUUGAGGAUCAACUGGCUGAGGGUGAAAGGAAAAUCACCAGUCUUCCUGGUGGACAGAUUGACUGGGGGAAAGACCUCUACCUUGCUGGACCAUCUGAGGACACCACAACUUGAAUUCCUGAUAUCUGCCCAACCACUGACUCUCAUUUUUCUGCAAAGGAAUAUAUUGACCCCACAGGUUUCACCUGACGCCAAAGAAUCCAUGACACAAAAAAGGAUGAAGAACCUGAGGCCCAAGGAAAUUAAGUAAUUUGCCUAAGAUCACAGAACUAUGAAGCAUCAGAGAUAAGACAUCAGCCCAGAGCUUCUGUGCCUAAGCUGAAAUAAAUGGGAAAACAUCCAGCCA
rnacentral:lncRNA from 1 species